UCUGAAGAAUACAUGACCCUGACCUCCACAUCCGCAGGCCAGCUGCCCUGUGAAGAGUGUCUGGAGGCAGAUUCAGAGACUAUUCCUCUGCCUCGGUUCUGUUCUUCGGGUGCUCUCCUGAAGUCUUCCCUUCUGGAAGGAUCACCAGGGAGUGAGAGUGACUGGGAGGACCUGGAUGAGCCUGUGGAUGGGGAUGAGGUGCUCAGGUGGACACACUCAGCGCGAGUCUCCUGAGAUAGAACCCCGAGGGAUUCUUCACAGGCACUCUUUUGUGGGAGAGCCCUCAGCUGACUUCCGUCCAGGAAAUGUACCUGUUUGCUCAUCUCCCCUGGAAGAAGCAUCUUCGAGCCAACGGGCUAGGCUGGAGCUCCUGGGCUAGUUACCAAGGGCUAACUUCUGAGAGUUCGUGCCUGCUACUUCUGAGGCCGAUCACCAUUAAUAGCCACAACUUCCUCUUCUGUUCUGAAGCUUAAGUCAAGCAAAUUUUUGUGUGUAUGGGGUAGGGUUCCCCUCAUGAAGGGAAUUGAGAACUAAUUUCUUUACAUAAGAUAAGCCGGAGCAGAGGAAGUGCCUGGCUGCCACACUGGUGCACCAUUUUCCAAGAUGGAUGCCACAUUCUGGUUUAACUGUUUCAGUGUCCUUGAAAACAUCUGGCAAGGGCUCAAAGGCCACACAGGAAAUAUCUUUCUAUAUUGAUUUUUCCAUGUCCCUCCUUUAGCUCCAAAUAGUCAUGUGUUCUUUCUAAAUGAUUUUUCCUCUUUUGAUCCUAAUGCCUGGUUCUCAUCACCUAGAAAGUGAAGUGUAAUAGAGCUACCAUUACUCAAGGUGGAUAGGUAGCUGCCAUCAUUAAAAGAAUUGAAAACUAGUAGAAUUAACACAUGCAUGGAAGAAACAGACCUGUUGGGCCACAGCGUAAGUCAUUAGUGUGACCCUGUAUAAUGGAGAAGACAUAGCAGAGACAAAGUCUCACAUGAGGGAAAUGGGGACAACCUACUAAUAUAAUGAGAGUGUGCCCGUUAUAGGUCAUGUUCUGCUAUGUUCUGCUGCGCAUGGAAAAGAAAUUCCCAGCAAUCUGAGUAGCCCUUCCUUCAGACUGUUACAGCUCCACAUGCUGCUGCAUCAUUUUAUAGGCCUCGGUUGUGGAGAAUUAAUUAACUAUGCAAUAAAAUGACUAAUUAAUAACAUUUA